rnacentral:rRNA from 1 species
CACAUGCAAGUCGAACGAGGUAGCAAUACCUAGUGGCGGACGGGUGAGGAAUACGUAGGGAUCUGCCCUUAAGUGGGGGAUAACCCGGAGAAACCCGGAUUAAUACCGCAUGAUCUCGAGAGAGCAAAGCAGGGGACCGCAAGGCCUUGCGCUUUUGGAGGAACCUACGUCGGAUUAGCUAGUUGGUGAGGUAACGGCUCACCAAGGCGACGAUCCGUAACUGGUCUGAGAGGAUGAUCAGUCACACCGGAACUGAGACACGGUCCGGACUCCUACGGGAGGCAGCAGUGGGGAAUAUUGGACAAUGGGCGAAAGCCUGAUCCAGCAAUACCGCGUGUGUGAAGAAGGCCUUCGGGUUGUAAAGCACUUUAAGUUGGGAAGAAAAAGCUCUGGCUAAUAUCUAGAGCCUUGACGGUACCAACAGAAUAAGCACCGGCUAACUCUGUGCCAGCAGCCGCGGUAAUACAGAGGGUGCUAGCGUUAAUCGGAUUUACUGGGCGUAAAGCGUGCGUAGGCGGUUUGAUAAGUCGAUUGUGAAAGCCCCGGGCUUAACCUGGGAAUUGCAGUUGAUACUGUCAGACUCGAAAACGGUAGAGGGAGGCGGAACUCCAGGUGUAGCGGUGAAAUGCGUAGAUAUCUGGAAGAACACCGAUGGCGAAGGCAACCUCCUGGGCCUGUUUUGACGCUGAGGCACGAAAGCGUGGGUAGCAAACAGGAUUAGAUACCCUGGUAGUCCACGCCGUAAACGAUGAGAACUUGACGUAGGUUUGCUUAGCAAAUCGGUGUCGUAGCUAACGCGAUAAGUUCUCCGCCUGGGGAGUACGGCCGCAAGGUUGAAACUC